ensembl:lncRNA GFOD3P Gfo/Idh/MocA-like oxidoreductase domain containing 3, pseudogene
GCACGCGGAAGCGCUCAUCCUCCCCGCCUGCCCCGUUCCCUCCCCCUUCUCCUGUGGGACAACCAGGGACCGCAGCUCCCCGCUCCCCAGGUGUGGGGGCUCCGACACGAACGCCUCUGCUCGCAGGGCGGUGAGCGCAGAUCCCACGGGUCCCUCGGUCGGGGGUCGAGGCUGCUUCCGUUUCCAUCCCGGACCCGACAAUGGGCGGGAAAAAGAAGGCUUUACACGACUACGCGGCGGAGUUCACCGACCUGGUGGUGAAGCACCUGAUUGAGCACAGUGACUCUGGGGACACGUCUGUGGUGGAGACCCUUUACUGCAGGGCCUGCGAGCUGCCCGUGCGCGUGCGGAGGGACCGCAUCCUGGAACACCUGUCCUCGGGCAGGCAGCACGGCCUGCGGACGCCCAUUCUCAUGUAAAUGUCAGUGCCAACGCUGGUGUUUCAGGAGUCAUCCCAGCGGGCUGCGGGCUAUUUUAGGAUUCUCUGCCCUGCAAACGUUUCCAAAGUACGUGGACAGGCCGCCUGAUGACACUACGUUUACGGGAUCUGCUAGUGGCUUGCCUACUUAGGGAGUAAACCCUGUGAAGUCUCGCAGUUUUGUUAAAGUGUGCGUGGCCACCUGAAUGCUGCCUUAUCACAAGCCAGAUACAUACUGGUCUGUAGGGUAACUCCCCACUGUUGAUCCUCUGAGAUGAUUGUGGACUGGGUGCUGUGAGUCCUGCCACUUUGUUUAAGUGAAUGUGUCUUUUGUCCAGCUCAGCCGCCUCGGAUCUCGCUGCCACCAGCCUUACUGCACACCCGUGCCACCCGCCCUUGCCCCGUCAGCCUCAGCCUCAGCUCAUUCUCUCAGGCAGUCCCAGCAUUGGCACGGUACCUCCUCCCGCUGUGGGCCACACGUCUCUGCUCCCUGUCAACCCUCCUGCCAUCAGCACCACCACCAGCGACUUGUCUGCCCGGGAGGAUGCAACACCAUCUGCCUCCACCGGCCACCUUUCAGUGUUUCCUGCUUUCCAAGUAAAGAUACCAGCAGUGCCCUCAGAGCAGACCAGCCAGAGUUUUUCUGAAGCCUCCCACAGGGUGCUCCCCGGAGGAGGCCCGAGAUGCUCUCGUGACUUUGGAGCCGGGGUGGCUGGCCACCUUGGCCUGGGCAUCUUUGGGGUGGGCUUCGGGAGCCCGGCACUGCUGCAGAGUGUGGUGGAUGAGAACAGCUGCUGCUUGCUGUACGUGGUGGAGGACCAGCUGUGUGAUGUGGAGCAAGCCUUCAGAGCUGAGCAUUUGGGCCAACACCAGAGUGGUUCGGGAACAGGAUGCAGACAUUGUCCUCAACGACCAGCGGCACUUUGAUCCGGUUUUCCAGUUCUUGCACAAGCAAGUUUGUGUCAGCCACGCCCUGGGGAGGAUCCACUGGAUCACCGCCGUCACUGCCUGUUCCCGGCGGCCUCUCCGGCUUCCCUAAAGAGAGCAGGUGGGACUUUCUACAACGCUGCUGUGCACGACGUGGAUGCCGUAUGCAUGUUGCUGGGGGAAGCCACUCCGGACACUGUGUUUUCUCUGGGACAUGUCUUCUGCCCAGAUAUGGCCGCCUUAAAAGAUGCAGAUGCUGUUGUGAUCAGCAUGAAGUUUCCCUGUGAGGCCGUGGUUAGCGUGGACAUCAGCCAGCACUGCACAGACAGCUGCGACCAGGACGUCAGCCAGCACUGCACAGACAGCUGCGACCAGAGACUGGAGGGCGUUUUAGAGUCCCCGUUUCUACGUUCUAUGUGGCACCCUCUUGCCGAGGGAACAUCCAGAAUCCCUCCACUUCCUGUCUAGUUUGAGGCCUCAACACCUUCAUGAUCCAGAGUCCUGCGGCUAUGAGGGGGUGGGCCCACCACCGCCCAGCCCUCCUUGGUGGACGUGGGGACAGGUUUUGCUGAGAAACGGGAGUGCGUUCUGUGUCGGUGUUUGUGACGCCCUGAGACCCUGCUUGGCCUAGCUAAAGUCCAGAAGGCCUGGGCCCCACAGGGCUUGGAUGAGGGCUCAUGGGCCUGUACUUCAGGAGGCCUGAGAGGCCCGGUCAGUCCCAUGAGGCUACUCGGCUUGGCCCGCAGGUCCUCCGAGGCACAGGGCAGAGGGACACCCCAGGGACCCAUCAGACUCACGACACAGAGAAACUCAAGUGGGGUGCCAGGGCCGGCCACAGAGGCCACGGGCUUCCUGCCUGUGAGGAGCCGCCCUGUUUGUCUGAGCCCUUUGGAGAUUUAGGUUGAGUCAUGAGAACCGGUCAUUGGAACAUACACUUUAUUAUGUUACAAAAACAAAAAUCCCCACUGAAACACAGCUAAAAAAAUAACACAUUUUCCCAAGAUUACAUUACCAAAAACAGUUGUUAUGUCAUUGGAGGGCGUCCAUUAAUACUGCUCGGAGAAGCACGAUCUUACACGAAAAACACGGAUGGGAUUUCGUUUUCACCUUAAAGCAUUAAAGUGCUUUAACUGGUAACAGAGGAGUGGAUGUUUGUGCGUUGGAGACACUGACUGUUCUGAGUGACAAGUGGCUCUGUGCCAGGAUACUGCGGGUCGGGCUCCUGGGUACAGCAAGGGCUUCCCAGCAGCCCAGGCCUGGUGGGAACGCUGGGGGAAUGGGGGAGAGUCGCUGUUUCUGACCAGAGCGACUUGGACAGAUGUGAGCUGACCUGCCUGGCGAGCUCCUUCUGCCUUGCCUCUCUGAGCAGACUCAGGACCACUGCCUGUCCCCCUUGGCCCCAGGAGUGCCAGCAGCCUCCCUCCAACCCCUGCACUGCUGGGAAAACCAUCCGCCUUCAAGAUUUAUUUGU